GGAAGUAAAAGUCGUGACAAGGUUUCCGUAGGUGAACCUGCGGAAGGAUCAUUAAUGUGUUUGGGCCUCACGGCUCUUCAUUCCGACGCUGUGCGCCUUCGGGCUGCACGCUGAGGGAGCAUAUAUCCACCCCUGUGCACACACACGGUGGCGAGCUGGGUAACGGCUCGCCGCUGAUCUUUACACACGUCUAAAAGUCAUUGUAUGUUUAUUUGAGAUAAAAACACAACUUUCAGCAACGGAUCUCUAGGCUCUC
rnacentral:misc_RNA from 1 species